CACGUAGGGGGCGAGCGUUGUCCGGAUUUAUUGGGCGUAAAGAGCUCGUAGGCGGCUCAGUAAGUCAGGUGUGAAAACUCCAGGCUCAACCUGGAGACGCCACCUGAUACUGCUGUGGCUAGAGUCCGGUAGGGGAGCAUGGAAUUCCUGGUGUAGCGGUGAAAUGCGCAGAUAUCAGGAGGAACACCGGUGGCGAAGGCGGGUCUCUGGGCAGUAACUGACGCUGAGGAGCGAAAGCGUGGGGAGCGAACAGG
rnacentral:rRNA from 1 species